CAGAGAGUAGUUUAGUUGAAAAUGCCAGCUUUGGGAGUUGGUGAUGGGGGUUUAAUUCCCUUCUCUCUGA
rnacentral:tRNA from 1 species